UUAAGCGACUAAGCGUACACGGUGGAUGCCCUGGCAGUCAGAGGCGAUGAAGGACGUGCUAAUCUGCGAUAAGCGUCGGUAAGGUGAUAUGAACCGUUAUAACCGGCGAUUUCCGAAUGGGGAAACCCAGUGUGAUUCGUCACACUAUCAUUAACUGAAUCCAUAGGUUAAUGAGGCGAACCGGGGGAACUGAAACAUCUAAGUACCCCGAGGAAAAGAAAUCAACCGAGAUUCCCCCAGUAGCGGCGAGCGAACGGGGAGCAGCCCAGAGCCUGAAUCAGUGUGUGUGUUAGUGGAAGCGUCUGGAAAGGCGUGCGAUACAGGGUGACAGCCCCGUACACAAAAAUGCACAUGCUGUGAGCUCGAUGAGUAGGGCGGGACACGUGGUAUCCUGUCUGAAUAUGGGGGGACCAUCCUCCAAGGCUAAAUACUCCUGACUGACCGAUAGUGAACCAGUACCGUGAGGGAAAGGCGAAAAGAACCCCGGCGAGGGGAGUGAAAAAGAACCUGAAACCGUGUACGUACAAGCAGUGGGAGCACAGAGCAAUCUGUGUGACUGCGUACCUUUUGUAUAAUGGGUCAGCGACUUAUAUUCUGUAGCAAGGUUAACCGAAUAGGGGAGCCGAAGGGAAACCGAGUCUUAACUGGGCGUUAAGUUGCAGGGUAUAGACCCGAAACCCGGUGAUCUAGCCAUGGGCAGGUUGAAGGUUGGGUAACACUAACUGGAGGACCGAACCGACUAAUGUUGAAAAAUUAGCGGAUGACUUGUGGCUGGGGGUGAAAGGCCAAUCAAACCGGGAGAUAGCUGGUUCUCCCCGAAAGCUAUUUAGGUAGCGCCUCGUGAAUUCAUCUCCGGGGGUAGAGCACUGUUUCGGCAAGGGGGUCAUCCCGACUUACCAACCCGAUGCAAACUGCGAAUACCGGAGAAUGUUAUCACGGGAGACACACGGCGGGUGCUAACGUCCGUCGUGAAGAGGGAAACAACCCAGACCGCCAGCUAAGGUCCCAAAGUCAUGGUUAAGUGGGAAACGAUGUGGGAAGGCCCAGACAGCCAGGAUGUUGGCUUAGAAGCAGCCAUCAUUUAAAGAAAGCGUAAUAGCUCACUGGUCGAGUCGGCCUGCGCGGAAGAUGUAACGGGGCUAAACCAUGCACCGAAGCUGCGGCAGCGACGCUUAUGCGUUGUUGGGUAGGGGAGCGUUCUGUAAGCCUGCGAAGGUGUGCUGUGAGGCAUGCUGGAGGUAUCAGAAGUGCGAAUGCUGACAUAAGUAACGAUAAAGCGGGUGAAAAGCCCGCUCGCCGGAAGACCAAGGGUUCCUGUCCAACGUUAAUCGGGGCAGGGUGAGUCGACCCCUAAGGCGAGGCCGAAAGGCGUAGUCGAUGGGAAACAGGUUAAUAUUCCUGUACUUGGUGUUACUGCGAAGGGGGACGGAGAAGGCUAUGUUGGCCGGGCGACGGUUGUCCCGGUUUAAGCGUGUAGGCUGGUUUUCCAGGCAAAUCCGGAAAAUCAAGGCUGAGGCGUGAUGACGAGGCACUACGGUGCUGAAGCAACAAAUGCCCUGCUUCCAGGAAAAGCCUCUAAGCAUCAGGUAACAUCAAAUCGUACCCCAAACCGACACAGGUGGUCAGGUAGAGAAUACCAAGGCGCUUGAGAGAACUCGGGUGAAGGAACUAGGCAAAAUGGUGCCGUAACUUCGGGAGAAGGCACGCUGAUAUGUAGGUGAAGUCCCUCGCGGAUGGAGCUGAAAUCAGUCGAAGAUACCAGCUGGCUGCAACUGUUUAUUAAAAACACAGCACUGUGCAAACACGAAAGUGGACGUAUACGGUGUGACGCCUGCCCGGUGCCGGAAGGUUAAUUGAUGGGGUCAGCGCAAGCGAAGCUCUUGAUCGAAGCCCCGGUAAACGGCGGCCGUAACUAUAACGGUCCUAAGGUAGCGAAAUUCCUUGUCGGGUAAGUUCCGACCUGCACGAAUGGCGUAAUGAUGGCCAGGCUGUCUCCACCCGAGACUCAGUGAAAUUGAACUCGCUGUGAAGAUGCAGUGUACCCGCGGCAAGACGGAAAGACCCCGUGAACCUUUACUAUAGCUUGACACUGAACAUUGAGCCUUGAUGUGUAGGAUAGGUGGGAGGCUUUGAAGUGUGGACGCCAGUCUGCAUGGAGCCGACCUUGAAAUACCACCCUUUAAUGUUUGAUGUUCUAACGUUGACCCGUAAUCCGGGUUGCGGACAGUGUCUGGUGGGUAGUUUGACUGGGGCGGUCUCCUCCUAAAGAGUAACGGAGGAGCACGAAGGUUGGCUAAUCCUGGUCGGACAUCAGGAGGUUAGUGCAAUGGCAUAAGCCAGCUUGACUGCGAGCGUGACGGCGCGAGCAGGUGCGAAAGCAGGUCAUAGUGAUCCGGUGGUUCUGAAUGGAAGGGCCAUCGCUCAACGGAUAAAAGGUACUCCGGGGAUAACAGGCUGAUACCGCCCAAGAGUUCAUAUCGACGGCGGUGUUUGGCACCUCGAUGUCGGCUCAUCACAUCCUGGGGCUGAAGUAGGUCCCAAGGGUAUGGCUGUUCGCCAUUUAAAGUGGUACGCGAGCUGGGUUUAGAACGUCGUGAGACAGUUCGGUCCCUAUCUGCCGUGGGCGCUGGAGAAUUGAGGGGGGCUGCUCCUAGUACGAGAGGACCGGAGUGGACGCAUCACUGGUGUUCGGGUUGUCAUGCCAAUGGCACUGCCCGGUAGCUAAAUGCGGAAGAGAUAAGUGCUGAAAGCAUCUAAGCACGAAACUUGCCCCGAGAUGAGUUCUCCCUGACUCCUUGAGAGUCCUGAAGGAACGUUGAAGACGACGACGUUGAUAGGCCGGGUGUGUAAGCGCAGCGAUGCGUUGAGCUAACCGGUACUAAUGAACCGUGAGGCUUAACCU
rnacentral:rRNA from 1 species